UCAAACUUGGUCAUUUAGAGGAAGUAAAAGUCGUAACAAGGUUUCCGUAGGUGAACCUGCGGAAGGAUCAUUAAAGAAUUUUUUGAUUCUCUUACCAACCCCAAAUUGUGCACUUGUAACUUAUUAGUAAGGAAAAAAAAAUAUUUCUUACUCUUUUAUUCCCUUUUGAUGAUGUGUGGGCCAAAUUUUUUUUUCGUUUCUUACUUCUUCCCAGCCAGUUAGGCCAGGAAUUAGAAUGAAAAAGGAAAGAAUUUUGGCCCGUUCACCAAAAGGGAAAAAAUUGUAUAUAAAAGGAAUAAUUUUUUUUCUUUACUUCAAAUAAUAUAAUUCACACGAAUCAAAAUUUAUUUUGACUGAGAAAAUUAAUACUAAAAAAAAAUACAACUUUCAACAACGGAUCUCUUGGCUCUCGCAUCGAUGAAGAACGCAGC
rnacentral:misc_RNA from 1 species